rnacentral:rRNA from 1 species
UACGAAGGGGGCUAGCGUUGUCCGGAAUCAUUGGGCGUAAAGAGCGUGUAGGCGGCCCGGUAAGUCCGCUGUAAAAGUCAAAGGCUCAACCUUUGAAUGUCAGUGGAUACUGCCGGGCUAGAGUCCGGAAGAGGCGAGUGGAACUCCUGGUGUAGCGGUGGAAUGCGCAGAUAUCAGGAAGAACACCAACGGCGAAGGCAGCUCGCUGGGACGGUACUGACGCUGAGACGCGAAAGCGUGGGGAGCGAACAGG